GCUCCCAACAGGCGUUUCCCAUUUGCACGCCCGCUUGCCCGAUGUGAAUGGAUAUGCAUUCCCGCUGCGAACAAACCUGUGAUCUUUUGGUUGGAAGAAAUUCUCUCGCUUUAAGUAUAAACAGCGAUAGACAAAGAAAUAAUAGAAAUAAUAUGAUAAAUCAUUAUCCGAGAGAUUAGCUUAGUGUAAGUUAAGGACAGAGCCCUUCCAUUACGUCGCAUUGAUUGUUAUACUCGCUCCAUCACGCUACGUUCAAGUAUGAUUACCACCUUGGGCAUCGUUAAAAAAUUUACAGCAGUCUUUAUCGCCUUUACGGCUUUGUGAUGACGGUAUAAUAUGAGUGGAUCGUUAAAUGUUGAAUAUUAUGAAAUUAACACUUUAUA